rnacentral:rRNA from 1 species
CCCUUAGACGCUCUGGGCCGCACGCGCGCUACACUGACGGAGCCAGCGAGUAUAAACCUUGGCCGAGAGGUCUGGGAAAUCUUGUGAAACUCCGUCGUGCUGGGGAUAGAGCAUUGUAAUUAUUGCUCUUCAACGAGGAAUUCCUAGUAAGCGCAAGUCAUCAGCUUGCGUUGAUUACGUCCCUGCCCUUUGUACACACCGCCCGUCGCUACUACCGAUUGAAUGGCUUAGUGAGGCUUCCGGAUUGGUUUAGAGAAGGGGGCAACUCCAUCUUGGAACCGAGAAGCUAGUCAAACUUGGUCAUUUAGAGGAAGUAAAAGUCGUAACA